rnacentral:rRNA from 1 species
GAUGAACGCUGGCGGCGUGCCUAAUACAUGCAAGUCGAGCGAACGGACGAGAAGCUUGCUUCUCUGAUGUUAGCGGCGGACGGGUGAGUAACACGUGGAUAACCUACCUAUAAGACUGGGAUAACUUCGGGAAAACGUAGCUAAUACCGGAUAAUAUUUUGAACCGCAUGGUUCAAAAGUGAAAGACGGUCUUGCUGUCACUUAUAGAUGGAUCCGCGCUGCAUUAGCUAGUUGGUAAGGUAACGGCUUACCAAGGCAACGAUGCAUAGCCGAUCUGAGAGGAUGAUCAGCCACACUGGAACUGAGACACGGUCCAGACUCCUACGGGAGGCAGCAGUAGGGAAUCUUCCGCAAUGGGCGAAAGCCUGACGGAGCAACGCCGCAUGAGUGAUGAAGGUCUUCGGAUCGUAAAACUCUGUUAUUAGGGAAGAACAUAUGUGUAAGUAACUGUGCACAUCUUGACGGUACCUAAUCAGAAAGCCACGGCUAACUACGUG